UACGUAGGUGGCAAGCGUUGUCCGGAUUUACUGGGCGUAAAGAGCGCGCAGGUGGUCGUUCAAGUCGCGUGUGAAAGCCCCCGGCUCAACUGGGGAGGGUCACGCGAUACUGAUCGACUCGAAGGCAGGAGAGGGUAGUGGAAUUCCCGGUGUAGUGGUGAAAUGCGUAGAGAUGCGGAGGAACACCGAUGGCGAAGGCAGCCCCCUGGGCCAACACUGACGCUCAGGCACGAAAGCGUGGGGAGCAAACAGG
rnacentral:rRNA from 1 species